AUGAACGCUGGCGGCGUGCCUAAUACAUGCAAGUCGAGCGAACAGACGAGGAGCUUGCUCCUCUGACGUUAGCGGCGGUCGGGUGAGUAACACGUGGAUAACCUACCUAUAAGACUGGGAUAACUUCGGGAAACCGGAGCUAAUACCGGAUAAUAUAUUGAACCGCAUGGUUCAAUAGUGAAAGACGGUUUUGCUGUCACUUAUAGAUGGAUCCGCGCCGCAUUAGCUAGUUGGUAAGGUAACGGCUUACCAAGGCAACGAUGCGUAGCCGACCUGAGAGGGUGAUCGGCCACACUGGAACUGAGACACGGUCCAGACUCCUACGGGAGGCAGCAGUAGGGAAUCUUCCGCAAUGGGCGAAAGCCUGACGGAGCAACGCCGCGUGAGUGAUGAAGGUCUUCGGAUCGUAAAACUCUGUUAUUAGGGAAGAACAAAUGUGUAAGUAACUAUGCACGUCUUGACGGUACCUAAUCAGAAAGCCACGGCUAACUACGUG
rnacentral:rRNA from 1 species